UCCCUCAUGGUCCAGUGGUUAAGACUUUGCACUUCCAAUGCAGGGGGCGCAGGUUCAAUCCUUGGUCGGGGAA
rnacentral:tRNA from 1 species